rnacentral:rRNA from 1 species
GACGAACGCUGGCGGCGUGCUUAACACAUGCAAGUCGAACGGAAAGGCCCUGCUUUUGUGGGGUGCUCGAGUGGCGAACGGGUGAGUAACACGUGAGUAACCUGCCCUUGACUUUGGGAUAACUUCAGGAAACUGGGGCUAAUACCGGCUAGGAGCUCCUGCUGCAUGGUGGGGGUUGGAAAGUUUCGGCGGUUGGGGAUGGACUCGCGGCUUAUCAGCUUGUUGGUGGGGUAGUGGCUUACCAAGGCUUUGACGGGUAGCCGGCCUGCGAGGGUGACCGGCCACAUUGGGACUGAGAUACGGCCCAGACUCCUACGGGAGGCAGCAGUGGGGAAUAGUGCACAAUGGGCGGAAGCCUGAUGCAGCAACGCCGCGUGCGGGAUGACGGCCUUCGGGUUGUAAACCGCUUUCGCCUGUGACGAAGCGUGAGUGACGGUAAUGGGUAAAGAAGCACCGGCUAACUACGUG